ensembl:lncRNA
AUGCUUAACAACCCAGCCAACCUACAAUCUAAACUUGAUGCCCUCAAUCUCACACAAAUUAUCAAUGAACCUACCAGGUACCUCCCCAAAGCCAUAAACACGGGCACCCUCAUAUAUAUCAUCCUAACCAACUUGCCCUCUAAAUACACCUCUGCUGUCUUCAACCAAGAUCUCAGCAAUCACUGCCUCAUUGCCUGCAUCCGUAAUGGGUCAGCGGUCAAACGACCUCCACUCAUCACUGUAAAACGCUCCCUGAAACACUUCAGCAAGCAGGCCUUUCUAAUCGACCUGGCCGGGGUAUCCUGGAAGGAUAUUGGUCUCAUCCCGUCAGUAGAGGAUGCCUGGAUAUUUUUUUUAAAUGCCUUCCUAACCAUCUUAAAUAAACAUGUCCCAUUCAAGAAAUUUAGAACCAGGAACAGAUAUAGCCCUUGGUUCUCCCCAGACCUGACUGCCCUUAACCAACACAAAAACAUCCUAUGGCGUUCUGCAUUAGCAUCGAACAGCCCCCGUGAUAUGCAGCUGUUCAGGGAAGCUAGAAACCAUUAUACACAGGCAGUUAGAAAAGCCAAGGCUAGCUUUUUCAAGCAGAAAUUUGCUUCCUGCAACACUAACUCAAAAAGGUUCUGGGACACUGUAAAGUCCAUGGAGAAUAAGAACACCUCCUCCCAGCUGCCCACUGCACUGAAGAUAGGAAACACUGUCACCACUGAUAAAUCCACCAUAAUUGAGAAUUUCAAUAAACAUUUUUCUGCGGCUGGCCAUGCUUUCCACCUGGCUACUCCUACCCCAGUCAACAGCACUGCACCCCCCACAGCAACUCGCCCAAGCCUUCCCCAUUUCUCCUUCUCCCAAAUCCGUUCAGCUGAUGUUCUGAAUGAGCUGCAAAAUCUGGACCCCUACACAUCAGCCGGGCUAGACAAUCUGGACCCUUUCUUUCUAAAAUUAUCUGCCGAAAUUGUUGCCACCCCUAUUACUAGCCUGUUCAACCUCUCUUUCGUGUCGUCUGAGAUUCCCAAAGAUUGGAAAGCAGCUGCGGUCAUCCCCCUCUUCAAAGGGGGGGACACUCUUGACCCAAACUGCUACAGACCUAUAUCUAUCCUACCAUGCCUUUCUAAGGUAUUCGAAAGCCAAGUCAACAAACAGAUUACCGACCAUUUCGAAUCUCACCAUACCUGUCAGGUGCGUGAAUGA